rnacentral:rRNA from 1 species
UAGAGAAUCUUCGGCAAUGGGCGCAAGCCUGAUGGAGCAACACCGCGUGAGUGAAGAAGGGUUUCGGCUCGUAAAGCUCUGUUGUUAAAGAAGAACACGUAUGAGAGUAACUGUUCAUACGUUGACGGUAUUUAACCAGAAAGUCACGGCUAACUACGCGCCAG